rnacentral:lncRNA from 1 species
GCCAGGUGUGGUGGCUCAAGCCUAUAAUCCCAGCACUUUGGGACGCCGAGUCAGGAAGAUCAGGAGUUUGAGACUAGCCUGGCCAACGUGGCAAAACCCUGUCUCUAUCAAAAAAAUACAAAAAUUAGGGGGGCGUGGUGGCCCGUGCCUGUAAUCCCAGCUAUUCGGGAGGCUGAGGCAGGAGAAUUGCUUGAAUCCAGGAGGCAGAGGUUGCAGUGAGCCAAGACCAUGCCACUGCACUCCAGUCUGGGCGACAAAGUGAGACUCUGUCUUAGAAAAAUCAAUAAAAUUAAAUAAAAUUAAAAAAAAGAAAAGGAAUAGACCAGAUUCUAUGGUAGAAAAUUUGGGUGGUGGAGACUCGGAGUGUGGGUCAGUAGUGGUUUCAGGGAGAAGGUGUUGCAGUG